GGCCGCGGGAAUUCGAUUGGAUUAGGCAUGCAAGUCGAACGAGGAAGUGCCCCGUAAGGGGCGCAAGCCUAGUGGCGAAAGGGUGAGUAAUGCAUUGAUAACCUGCCUUUGAGAUGGGAAUAACUGCGUUUCGGGCAAUCGGAACUACCGAAAGGGCUGCUAAUACCCAAUAAUACUAUAGGUGCAAAAGCACUUGUGGUCAAAUGCUAGGAAUUCUGUUCCUUGUGCUUAAAGAGGGGUUAAUGUCCUAUCAGCUAGUUGGUGGGGUAAUGGCCUACCAAGGCAAAGACGGGUAGCCGGCUUGAGAGGGUGGUCGGCCACACUGGGACUGAGACACUGCCCAGACUCCUACGGGAGGCUGCAGUCGAGAAUCUUUCGCAAUGCCCGAAAGGGUGACGAAGCGACGCCGCGUGUGGGAAGAAGGCCUUCGGGUUGUAAACCACUGUCGGGAGUUAGGAAAUGCAGGUGCGUUAAUAGCGCACUUGCUUGACUAAGGCUCCAGAGGAAGCCACGGCUAACUCUGUGCCAGCAGCCGCGGUAAUACAGAGGCGGCAAGCGUUGUUCGGAAUUAUUGGGCGUAAAGAGCACGUAGGCGGCCUUGCAAGUCAGUUGUGAAAGCCUUCCGCUUAACGGAAGAACGGCAUCUGAUACUACAGGGCUUGAGUACGGGAGGGGAGAGUGGAACUUCUGGUGGAGCGGUGAAAUGCGUAGAUAUCAGAAGGAACGCCGGCGGCGAAAGCGACUCUCUGGUCCGAAACUGACGCUGAGUGUGCGAAAGCUAGGGGAGCAAACGGGAUUAGAUACCCCGGUAGUCCUAGCCGUAAACGAUGGGCACUAAGUAGAGGGGUUUUAAUCACUAGUGAAUUCGCGGCCGCCUGCAGGUCGACCAUAUGGGAGAGCUCCCAACGCGUUGGAUGCAUAGCUUGAGUAUUCUAUAGGU
rnacentral:rRNA from 1 species